GGUCUUGUGGUGCAGUGGUUAGCACAUCUGGUCAAUAUCCAGAAGACCUACGUUCAAAUCGUAGCAAGACCA
rnacentral:tRNA from 1 species